AUCUGCUGAGUCUCUGAAGUUAAACUGGAGAAAACAGUAAAUCUGCUCUCUAGUCGUUAACGUUGUUUAAUGACUGAUUCACAUGUAGUACAUCUUAGUGCAGAUUAGAAAAAUAAUCUCCCAGAAUAUGUCCAAUGUAAUGAUGAACACUACAGUUAUUACAUUUAAAUUACGGCACAGAUAAGCUGGAUAAUAAAAUCCUCUCCCCUAAAGCUAAAGUGACUGCAGGCCUUUCUGUCUUUCAGGGCAUUGGAAAACUAUAUGAAUUAGGAAAUCUUUCCAGGGUCACUUUAAAAUGAACCUCUGCUGUUGAUGCUGAUACUGUGACGUCUGUCUUCAGCUCAGGUGUCUCAUGUUCACUGUGAGGAUCUUCUGAGUGAAGCCAACAGAAGGAAAACCUCAUCUGGUUGUGAAGGAGACUGAAUGGACGACAUCCUCAGUGAGCCACUUCCUGUUUAACUUCCACUUACAGAAGAGUGAAAGUAGCAGUUCCUCCUGAAGAUCAGAGAUUGCAGCAUCUGAGGGCCUCUUCAAAAGAAGACGUAGUUGAUGAAGGCGUUCUGGAGCAGGACCAGAAAGACCACGACCAAGCAGCCUUGAGAUCUUAGGCAGCGUCUCCCUCAGACCAAAGAACUACAGACUCUUCACAACCUGCUCAAACUCUUGGUACAGGACCUCACCACACGGGUCAAGAAGGUUUCUGUCUCAUUUCUACUCUGAAGCUCACCUUCUCCUGCUCAAACUGCUGACAAAUGUUUCUGCUGCUCUAAAGUCUGGUCUCCAGAACUUCCUAAAAACUCUCAAAGUCUCUUCUGCUGCAGGUUGCUUUGUAGAACUGUUCCAGAAAACCUCACUAAACCACAUGGAGGGGCCUCAAGAUGUCCAAAUGAAACCGUACAAAAACCAAACGAGCACAACCCAAAUGCUAAAGUCUCCUGCAGCCUACCAGAGAACCUCUGAGAACAGAGAAUCAGGACAGGAACUCUUACCUUCUGGACAACCAACGCUGGUUCUCAAGCAAGAAUACAGGAUGUGUCUGACCAAAAACCUCUGAAGACUCACUACAGCCAAGAUAAAGACACAACUCAGCUGCACCAAAUCCACUAAUCACUGCACACAUUAGCACCAUGUGCUAACUGUGGCUAAAGAACCACAUUUACCAAGACAACUAUCCAGUACAAAGCCCUAAAACACACCAAGAAACACAUUAAAGACGAUUUUACUGCUGGAAGCUGCAAGCAAACGCCUAAAGAACAAACUGAAGCAAAGGAGUCAAACCCAGUUCACUGGUGAAGAGAAGCAGAGGAAAUGUUUGUCUGCAGCUAAAUAAAGCAGGAAGACACUGAGCUGCUCAGGUGUUCCUGAUAACACCAAGCAGCCACCUGGACAGCCAAUAGGAACACAGCCACCUGGACAGCCAAUAGGAACACAGCCACCUGGACAGCCAAUAGGAACACAGCCACCUGGACAGCCAAUAGGAACACAGCUUACUGGAAGUCCAGAGGGCUGGGUUAGUGAAGGAAAUUUAGUUUAAAGUUGAAGCAGAAAGUUAACAAAGAAAGUUGAAAGCCACCUUCUGAUCCCUGAAAUCUCUGAGUUUUCACACAAAGAACACCUGAACAUGUCAAACUGGUUCCAUAGUAGAACCCUCAACACAACAGAAAUGUCUGGAAGCCAGUGGCCACC
ensembl:lncRNA